GAGAUUUUGCGGAUUAUUAAGGAGGAAAAGUAAGAGUUGUAGUUUUAAUAUUGAAAUUUAUUGAAACAGUGCAACGUAGAAAACCUGUAAGUAGAAGAAAACAAAAUUAGUGCAGUUUAAGAAGAAUUUAAACACUAGAUACUUACCAACAGCGAAAAGGUCCCGCGAGCUGCUCUGCCGUUUCGCACCGUCACUUGGGGCGAAUCUGUACUUCGGUGAUCCGAAGAGUGCAAAGAAGGAAAGUUAGGAAGAGGAAGAGGAGGAGUUGGAAAGGAAGAGGAAACGCUAACGUAGGAAAGGAAACCAAUUAACUGCUCGAAGAGCUGCUGAACAAAAAGUUGGGGUUUUAUUUACCGACCACCCGAACA